UGAACGCUGGCGGCGUGCCUCAUACAUGCAAGUCGAGCGAACGGACGAGAAGCUUGCUUCUCUAAUGUUAGCGGCGGACGGGUGAGUAACACGUGGAUAACCUACCUAUAAGACUGGGAUAACUUCGGGAAACCGUAGCUAAUACCGGAUAAUAUUUUGAACCGCAUGGUUCAAAAGUGAAAGACGGUCUUGCUGUCACUUAUAGAUGGAUCCGCGCUGCAUUAGCUAGUUGGCAAGGUAACGGCUUACCAAGGCAACGAUGCAUAGCCGACCUGAGAGGGUGAUCGGCCACACUGGAACUGAGACACGGUCCAGACUCCUACGGGAGGCAGCAGUAGGGAAUCUUCCGCAAUGGGCGAAAGCCUGACGGAGCAACGCCGCGUGAGUGAUGAAGGUCUUCGGAUCGUAAAACUCUGUUAUUAGGGAAGAACAUAUGUGUAAGUAACUGUGCACAUCUUGACGGUACCUAAUCAGAAAGCCACGGCUAACUACGUG
rnacentral:rRNA from 1 species